AAAUGAAUAGACGGGGACCCGCACAAGCGGUGGAGCAUGUGGUUUAAUUCGAAGCAACGCGAAGAACCUUACCAAGUCUUGACAUCCCGAUGACGGAAACUUAACCGUUUCUUCUCUUCGGAGCAUCGGAGACAGGUGGUGCAUGGUUGUCGUCAGCUCGUGUCGUGAGAUGUUGGGUUAAGUCCCGCAACGAGCGCAACCCUUAUUGUCAGUAGCCAGCAUUAAGUUGGGCACUCUGACGAGACUGCCAGGGAUAACCUGGAGGAAGGCGGGGAUGACGUCAAAUCAUCAUGCCCCUUAUGACUUGGGCCACACACGUGCUACAAUGGCGUAAACAAAGAGAAGCAAAACCGCGAGGUCAAGCGAAUCUCAAAAAUAACGUCUCAGUUCGGAUUGUAGUCUGCAACUCGACUACAUGAAGCUGGAAUCGCUAGUAAUCGCAGAUCAGAAUGCUGCGGUGAAUACGUUCCCGGGUCUUGUACACACCGCCCGU
rnacentral:rRNA from 1 species